AGUUGCAGGGUAAGUGGAUGUUCGGCUUAGAUGUAUAAUCCUUGGGUCAGAUCUUUGAAUAGGCUGAUUGUGUUUGAGUCUUGAGGUGGUUUAUUCGAGUUCGAUUAGCAGCUGUUUGGGUCGGAUUGAAAGUGAGCGAAUUGGCUACGGUUUGGAGGAGGCAGCUUGGAAGUGUGUAUGCAGGGGCCGGUAUGUGGGUUAGUGUAUAGACGUGCAGCUGUACUGACAUGGAUUGAAGGUGGGUGAAUUGAAGGUUAGCAAAAGAAGGUUAAUUUGAAGUCAAAAAUCAGUGGAAGGUUGUAAUGUUAAGUUUCUGUUAUUGCUUGUGGUGCUUUGUGGACAGUUUGGCUUAUGUUUGAACUGGCAGCAUAAUUGACUGAGUUUAGGGGUUGAUUUGGCUUAUGCGGGGCUGAUAUGUUUGUUAUGCAACUGCUAUAGGUUGUUAGAGAAGCUGUUAAGUGUUAAACUGUUAGAAGUUAGGUGGUAGUUAGGAGAUG